AAUUCAUGCCGGUCUGAAGUCAGUCGGCUCGGUCUAGCAGGCGGAAUGACGUGAGACCGGUCUGAGUUAUUUUCGUCCCAUGAGUCUCAUGUAAACAUCUAUUGUAAACAGGGUUCGUAGCUGUCUUUGAAAUCCUUGAAAGUCUUUAAAUUUGAAUGCAAGUCUUUAAGGUCUUUGAAAAGUCUUUGAAUUGUGUGAAAAAGCGAAGAAA